CUUAUUUCUAUCACCAGACUUGAGGGCUGUGGAAGCUGAAAACAUUAAUAUGACACGAAAUAUAUUGGUACUGGAAAGAGUGCCCACAGCAUGAUUUAAAAAAAGAUGGCUUUGAAUUUGAAGAUGAUCUUCUUGCACCUCCCUUCUCGAGCACAGGGAUUACAGGCAAGUGCCACCACGACUACUGUAUUGGGUGCUGGGGCUGGAACCCCCAGACUCAGGCAUGCUGUGCAAGCACUCUACUGACAGCAUUACAGCCCCUGUCUCUUUUUCUCUCUUCCAUUUCUUUCCUUCCCUUCUUUUUCUUUGCUAUUUCCAAGUAGUAACCAUUGACCUCUUAACCCUGGCCUUUCUCAGGGAUCUACUAUGACUGAUAGCCCGCUGUGGUGAGAAGCUUCAGUCUCUCUUAGCCUCGGUCUUAGCAAACAGAAAGCUGGCUACCACUUUAAGGGUCUGAAGCAGGUGCCUCGCUGCAUGGUUCUGCCUGGAGGGUAGACAGUACCUGAAUCUUGGAGCAGUGUUUCAUUUUGUCCUCUUGUGGGAUUGUGUUGGUGACAACAACAGCUUCAAAGGCAGCAUUAUUUAUUCUGGAAAUGGCUGGCCCAGAGAAGAUUCCGUGGGUAAGGAUGGCAUAAACUUUGGUGGCACCAGCUGAGAGCAACCUGCAAAACAGAGAACAAAGGGUUACUAGUGGCAUUGCAUGCCUAUAACCUUAACACUAGGGAGGCCAAAGCAGGAAGACUGUGAGUUAUAAACAAGCCAGAGCUACUGAGCAAAGUCCUGCCUCAAAAGAAUUAAGUGUCCAAAAAUGCUCCAAUAUUCUUGAAACACUGUACGUUGUCCCAAAAUUAUUAGUGAAAAGUGUACCCUAUAAAAAUGGGACAAAAAUCCAUUUGCAUUUCUUAGGCCAUACUAUGGUCUUUUAAUUGUGUAUGUUAGCAAAAUGCUCUGAGUUCCAUUAAAUCAAGGAUUAUCAGCCCUGGCAUUCGGAGCUAUAGAAGUCUUGUCAUGGCGGCCAUCUUAUCCAUCAUAGGAAAAUCCAGUAGCAUCCCUGAUUCAUACACUACCAACAUUCCCAUGAGUUUAAUUGAGACAACCAAUGACAUCUUUAGGGAAAAACUGUCCUGUGUUGAGAACCACUGAUUUCAACCAAUAGUGCAAAACACAUGUGACGUGACAUGUAAUCAAGCCACAACAUUAUCAGUGAGACUGAGAGUGUCUCAAAUUGUAUUCCACAGCCAUGUGUGGCAAAGGAGUGGGGGGCUCCCAGUCUGCCAAGUAGAACCUUUGGAAAGCCCCACGAGCAAUGAAACAAGCCCAAAGGUGGAGCUGAAAGCCGAAAGGGUGCAAACAAGCAAAUAAAACCUCUGGUUUUUUUUGGACCUGAAUUCUAGGGAAGCACGUUCUUUGAUCCUUUACAAACAUGACCUGCAAGUCCAAUCUAGAAAAUGAAAAUGCCCAUGGAUGUUUGUUGCUGGCGGUGUUUGUUUUUCUUACCAGGGAGAA